rnacentral:rRNA from 1 species
AUUGAACGCUGGCGGCAUGCCUUACACAUGCAAGUCGAACGGCAGCACGGGAGCAAUCCUGGUGGCGAGUGGCGAACGGGUGAGUAAAGUAUCGGAACGUGCCCAGUCGUGGGGGAUAACGUAGCGACAGUUACGCUAAUACCGCAUACGAUCUAUGGAUGAUAGCGGGGGAUCGCAAGACCUCGCUCGAUUGGAGCGGCCGAUAUCAGAUUAGGUAGUUGGUGGGGUAAAGGCUCACCAAGCCGACGAUCUGUAGCUGGUCUGAGAGGACGACCAGCCACACUGGGACUGAGACACGGCCCAGACUCCUACGGGAGGCAGCAGUGGGGAAUUUUGGACAAUGGGCGAAAGCCUGAUCCAGCCAUGCCGCGUGCAGGAUGAAGGCCUUCGGGUUGUAAACUGCUUUUGUACGGAACGAAAAGGUUUGGCCUAAUAAGCUGAGCUCAUGACGGUACCGUAAGAAUAAGCACCGGCUAACUACGUGCCAGCCGCCGCCGUAA